rnacentral:rRNA from 1 species
CAUUUCUUUUUUAAUAUAUUUUAAAGUAAGGCCUGCUCAAUGAAUUUUAAAUGGCUGCGGUAAUUUGACCGUACAAAGGUAGCAUAAUCAUUAGUAUUUUAAUUGGAAGCUAGAAUGAAUGGUUUAACGAGAAAAAGACUGUCUUUAUUUAAUUUAUAGAAUUUAAUUUUUAAGUUAAAAAGCUUAAAUUAAUCUGAAAGACGAGAAGACCCUAUAGAUCUUUAUUAAAUUUUAUUUAUUUUAUUUAUUUAUUAUCUUAUAAGUAAAAGUUAAUUUUGUUGGGGUGAUGUUAAGAUUUAAAUAACUCUUAUUUUUAUUAAUUAAUGAUAUUUAUAUUGUUGAUCCAGAAUUUUUGAUUACAAGAAUAAGUUACCUUAGGGAUAACAGCGUAAUUUUUUUUGAGAGUUCUUAUCGAUAAAAGGGAUUGCGACCUCGAUGUUGGAUUAAGAAUAAUUUUUGGUGUAGAAACUAAAAUUUUAGGUCUGUUCGACCUUUGAAUUCUUACAUGAUCUGAGU